UGAGUAACACGUAUCCACCUGCCGUCUACUCUUGACAGCCUUCUGAAAGGAAGAUUAAUACAAGAUGGCAUCAUGAGUCCGCAUGUUCACAUGAUUAAAGGUAUUCCGGUAGACGAUGGGGAUGCGUUCCAUUAGAUAGUAGGCGGGGUAACGGCCCACCUAGUCUUCGAUGGAUAGGGGUUCUGAGAGGAAGGUCCCCCACAUUGGAACUGAGACACGGUCCAA
rnacentral:rRNA from 1 species